AUGAGGAGGAGGUAUAGAAGAACAGAAGGAAGGGAGAGGAGGAAGGGCUGGCGUGUGGCGGCCUUGACAAUGAACCUCCGGUUGCGAUGGACUCCAGCGAGAGGCGGCACACGGCGCCAACGCGAGCCUAUGGGGCGGCGGUGGGGCUUUGGAGCUGCGAGAGCUCGGGCGUUUGGAUGUGUUUGGAUCACAGGCCAAAGGUUAUGCAUAUUGGAUUAUCAAGACAUUGGUGAUCACAUUAAAGCAACACAGUCAGAUUUCGUAGUUAUGCUGAAAUUGGUAUUACUUGGAAAAUAUAUCGCACAAGAAAUCAGAGCAAGGAUAUAUAAACCAGAGCAUCCCAAUGUUGAUAUUACUUGGAUUAGUAUUUGUCUACUUACCUUUUAUUAA
rnacentral:rRNA from 1 species